UCCUCAGUAGCUCAGUGGUAGAGCGGUCGGCUGUUAAAGGCGUAAGUCAUCGGUUCAAGUCCGAUAAAGGGCU
rnacentral:tRNA from 4 species